GAUGAAGAACGCAGCGAAAUGCGAUAAGUAAUGUGAAUUGCAGAAUUCAGUGAAUCAUCGAAUCUUUGAACGCACAUUGCGCCCGCUAGUAUUCUGGCGGGCAUGCCUGUCCGAGCGUCAUUUCAACCCUCAAGCCCCCGGGCUUGGUGUUGGGGAUCGGCGAGCCUCCGCGCCCGCCGUCCCCUAAAUCUAGUGGCGGUCUCGCUGUAGCUUCCUCUGCGUAGUAGCACACCUCGCACUGGGAAACAGCGCGGCCACGCCGUUAAACCCCCAACUUCUGAACGUUUGACCUCGGAUCAGGUAGGAAUACCCGGUGAACUUAAGCAUAUCAAUAAGCGGAGGA
rnacentral:misc_RNA from 1 species